GGAGGGAUGGCCGAGCGGUUUAUGGCAACUGACUUGAAAUCAGUCGUGGCGCAAGUCACCGGGGGUUCGAAUCCCUCUCCCUCCG
rnacentral:tRNA from 1 species